rnacentral:lncRNA from 1 species
GUCCAGACCUGACACCUCCUCUAUAAGUCCUUAAAUGGCAUAUUACACCAACAUGGCAAAUUUUCAGGAAGGAAAUACUGAUUGGUGGAAACAAGGACAAUUUCAUCAUGCACCAGAAAGGGAAAAAUUCCAGAGGCCAGAGUAACUUCAGGAGCUUAGCCUCAGGUAGAACUCCCUUUAGAGAACAUGGUUUUUGAACCCCUGCUUCUCACAUAUAGGAUUUUUUUUUCACUCAAUUGUCGCCACGGCGAUGAAUCCAAAAGUCCUUUCUAAGGAAAAAAUAACCAAUCAAAUGAGGCUUGGGGGGUGGGGUAGGCAAAGCAAGGCCUAUGACAAGAGCAUUGUCUCAUGAUGUCAUAAUGGUGGUCAGAAUCAAUAAAAGCUGACCACGUAGGCAGUUGGUGUGGUAUUAGUCAAAGCCACUGACCUGAGAGCAUCAAAGGAUCAGGGGCUAUGGACGAUGUUCAAGAGUACCCAACGUACAUACGGUACCUGGGAUACCAUGACUUUCAAAGCUUCAAGAAGUACAGAGUAUGCCAAGGGAAUAAAGGACUUGAAGUUUUUGAAGUCAUUGAUGGGAGUGAAAUACCUGAAGAAAGAAUAUGUGGAGAACAAGUUUAUAUUUCUGAAGGAGAGAUGAUUAAAUCUGGAGAAAAACGCAAGGAAGAUAGGAAACACGGGGAGAAAUACUUGGGAAUGACAGCCAGAUUAGAAAAAGAGUCAGCCAAGUUCCCAAACAAAAAUGACAAUACUCAAGUGAAGAACGAGACUACUGCAUUUCUAGAUUCUAUAUUCGGUGAGUGA